rnacentral:tRNA from 1 species
UGUUAAUUAUUUUAAGUUUAAAAUAUGUAGUUUCGGUCUAUAAGAUAUUUUUUUGUAUUAACUU